rnacentral:rRNA from 1 species
GAGGGGGCAAGCGUUGUUCGGAAUUACUGGGCGUAAAGGGCGCGUAGGCGGCCUUCUAAGUCGAACGUGAAAUCCCCGGGCUCAACCCGGGAACUGCGUCCGAUACUGGAAGGCUUGAAUCCGGGAGAGGGAUGCGGAAUUCCAGGUGUAGCGGUGAAAUGCGUAGAUAUCUGGAGGAACACCGGUGGCGAAGGCGGCAUCCUGGACCGGCAUUGACGCUGAGGCGCGAAAGCUAGGGGAGCAAACGGGAUUAGAUACCCCGGUAGUCCUAGCCCUAAACGAUGAAUGCUUGGUGUGGCGGGUAUCGAUCCCUGCCGUGCCGAAGCUAACGCAUUAAGCAUUCCGCCUGGGGAGUACGGUCGCAAGGCUG